rnacentral:rRNA from 1 species
UACGUAGGAUGCGAGCGUUGUCCGGAAUUAUUGGGCGUAAAGCGCACGUAGGCGGCUUUUCAAGUCGGAUGUGAAAUCCCUCGGCUUAACCAAGGAAGUGCAUCCGAAACUGGAGAGCUUGAGUACUUAAGAGGAUCGCGGAAUUCCCGGUGUAGAGGUGAAAUUCGUAGAUAUCGGGAGGAACACCAGUGGCGAAGGCGGCGAUCUGGGAAGAUACUGACGCUGAGGUGCGAAAGCGUGGGGAGCAAACAGG